rnacentral:rRNA from 1 species
AUUGAACGCUGGCGGCAUGCCUUACACAUGCAAGUCGAACGGCAGCACGGGUGCUUGCACCUGGUGGCGAGUGGCGAACGGGUGAGUAAUAUAUCGGAACGUACCUUAUUGUGGGGGAUAACGCAGCGAAAGCUGUGCUAAUACCGCAUAAUCCCUAAGGGGGAAAGCGGGGGACCGUAAGGCCUCGCGCAAUUAGAGCGGCCGAUACCUGAUUAGCUAGUUGGUGAGGUAAAGGCUCACUAAGGCAACGAUCAGUAGCUGGUCUGAGAGGACGAUCAGCCACACUGGGACUGAGACACGGCCCAGACUCCUACGGGAGGCAGCAGUGGGGAAUUUUGGACAAUGGGGGCAACCCUGAUCCAGCAAUGCCGCGUGAGUGAAGAAGGCCUUCGGGUUGUAAAGCUCUUUUGUCAGGGAAGAAACAGCAGCUCUAGCACAGUUUGCGAAUGACGGUACCUGAAGAAUAAGCACCGGCUAACUACGUGCCAGCAGCCGCAGUAA